GAUGAACGCUAGCGGCAGGCUUAACACAUGCAAGUCGAGGGGUAUAGUUUUUCGGAACUAGAGACCGGCGCACGGGUGCGUAACGCGUAUGCAAUCUACCUUUCACAGAGGGAUAGCCCAGAGAAAUUUGGAUUAAUACCUCAUAGUAUCUCGUUGUUGCAUGGCAACGAGAUUAAAGUUCCAACGGUGAAAGAUGAGCAUGCGUCCCAUAGCUAGAUGGUAAGGUAACGGCUUACCAUGGCUACGAUGGGUAGGGGUCCUGAGAGGGAGAUCCCCCACACUGGUACUGAGACACGGACCAGACUCCUACGGGAGGCAGCAGUGAGGAAUAUUGGGCAAUGGACGCAAGUCUGAACCAGCCAUGCCGCGUGCAGGAUGACGGUCCUAUGGAUUGUAAACUGCUUUUGUACGAGAAGAAACACUCCUACGUGUAGGAAUUUGACGGUAUCGUAAGAAUAAGGAUCGGCUAACUCCGUGCCAGCCGCCGCAGUAA
rnacentral:rRNA from 1 species